CCUACGGGAGGCAGCAGUGGGGGAUAUUGCACAAUGGGGGAAACCCUGAUGCAGCGACGCCGCGUGGGCGAAGAAGUAUUUCGGGAUGUAAAGCCCUAUCAGCAGGGAAGAAGAAAUGACGGUACCUGAGUAAGAAGCACCGGCUAAAUACGUGCCAGCAGCCGCGGUAAUACGUAUGGUGCAAGCGUUAUCCGGAGUUACUGGGUGUAAAGGGAGCGCAGGGGGCACGGCAAGCCUGAUGUGAAAGCCCGGGGCCCAACCGCGGGACUGCAUUGGGAACUGCGGGGCUGGAGUGCCGGAGAGGUAGGCGGAAUUCCUAGUGUAGCGGUGAAAUGCGUAGAUAUUAGGAGGAACACCAGUGGCGAAGGCGGCCUACUGGACGGUGACUGACGCUGAGGCUCGAAAGCGUGGGGAGCAAACAGGAUUAGAUACCCGUGUAGUC
rnacentral:rRNA from 1 species